AGAUGAUAAACGCUGCCAACAACUAAAAAAACAGAAAUCUACUGGUCAUUUUCAGUAACCAGAAGAGUUCACAUAUAAGAUCCUGUUUUUUCCAAGUGCAAAUAGUAAUUGAAAGUUUCCCAUUGAAAACAGAAAUUUCACACAUUAAAUUGCUUUUAGAUUGCUUUUUGUAUGAACAUUUUCAUUAUCCUGUGUUUAAGAAAAUGUAUAGUUUAUAGUCAAAUUGAGGCAGUCCUUUCACCUCUGAUAUAUACCUGGAGACGCAGGGAAAG
rnacentral:misc_RNA from 1 species